rnacentral:rRNA from 1 species
GUGGGGAAUAUUGGACAAUGGGCGCAAGCCUGAUCCAGCCAUGCCGCGUGAGUGAUGAAGGCCUUAGGGUUGUAAAGCUCUUUUGUCCGGGAAGAUAAUGACUGUACCGGAAGAAUAAGCCCCGGCUAACUUCGUGCCAGCAGCCGCGGUAAUACGAAGGGGGCUAGCGUUGUUCGGAAUCACUGGGCGUAAAGCGCACGUAGGCGGACCAUUAAGUCAGGGGUGAAAGCCUGGAGCUCAACGCCAGAACUGCCUUUGAUACUGAUGGUCUCGAGUAUGGAAGAGGUUGGUGGAACUGCGAGUGUAGAGGUGAAAUUCGUAGAUAUUCGCAAGAACACCGGUGGCGAAGGCGGCCAACUGGUCCAUUACUGACGCUGAGGUGCGAAAGCGUGGGGAGCAAACAGGAUUAGAAACCCGAGUAGUCC